CGUAGGUGGCAAGCGUUGUCCGGAAUUACUGGGUGUAGAGGGCGUGUAGGCGGGAUCCUAAGUCAGAUGUGAAACUCCGCGGCUCAACUGCGGAACUGCAUCUGAAACUGGGGUUCUUGAGUGCUGGAGAGGAAAGCGGAAUUCCUAGUGUAGCGGUGAAAUGCGUAGAUAUUAGGAGGAACACCAGUGGCGAAGGCGGCUUUCUGGACAGUAACUGACGCUGAGGCGCGAAAGCGUGGGGAGCAAACAGGAUUAGAUACCCUGGUAGUCCACGCUGUAAACGAUGGAUACUAGGUGUAGGAGGUAUCGACCCCUUCUGUGCCGGAGUUAACACAGUAAGUAUCCCACCUGGGGAGUACGGCCGCAAGGUUG
rnacentral:rRNA from 1 species